CCUACGGGUGGCAGCAGUGGGGAAUAUUGGGCAAUGGAGGCAACUCUGACCCAGCAACGCCGCGUGAAUGAUGAAGGUCUUCGGAUUGUAAAGUUCUGUGAUGGGGGAUGAACACAAUGACGGUACCCCAAUAGCAAGCCACGGCUAACUACGUGCCAGCAGCCGCGGUAAUACGUAGGUGGCAAGCGUUAUCCGGAAUGACUGGGCGUAAAGGGUGCGUAGGUGGUUUAGUAAGUUGGCGGUGUAAUUCCGGGGCUCAACCUCGGCGCUACCGCCAAAACUAUUAGACUAGAGUGCAGGAGGGGUAAGUGGAAUUCCUAGUGUAGCGGUGGAAUGCGUAGAUAUUAGGAGGAACAUCAGGGGCGAAGGCAGCUUACUAAACAGUGACUGACAUUGAUGCUCGAAAGUGUGGGUAUCAAACAGGAUUAGAUACCCGGGUAGUC
rnacentral:rRNA from 1 species